ensembl:rRNA 5S_rRNA 5S ribosomal RNA
CUCUAUGGCUAUGCUGCCCUGUACUUGCCGGAUCUCUUCUGAUCUCAGAAGCUAAGCAGGGUCGGACCUUUUUAGUACUUGGAUGGGAGACCUCCUAGGAAUCAUACCAGGUGCUGUAGGCA